CUACGUGCCAGCAGCCGCGGUAAUACGUAGGGCGCGAGCGUUGUCCGGAAUUAUUGGGCGUAAAGAGCUUGUAGGCGGUUUGUCGCGUCUGCUGUGAAAGGCCGGGGCUUAACUCCGUGUAUUGCAGUGGGUACGGGCAGACUAGAGUGCAGUAGGGGAGACUGGAAUUCCUGGUGUAGCGGUGGAAUGCGCAGAUAUCAGGAGGAACACCGAUGGCGAAGGCAGGUCUCUGGGCUGUAACUGACGCUGAGAAGCGAAAGCAUGGGGAGCGAACAGGAUUAGAUACCCUGGUAGUCCAUGCCGUAAACGUUGGGCACUAGGUGUGGGGAACAUUCCACGUUUUCCGCGCCGUAGCUAACGCAUUAAGUGCCCCGCCUGGGGAGUACGGCCGCAAGGCUAAAACUCAAAGAAAUUGACGGGGGCCCGCACAAGCGGCGGAGCAUGCGGAUUAAUUCGAUGCAACGCGAAGAACCUUACCAAGGCUU
rnacentral:rRNA from 1 species